rnacentral:rRNA from 1 species
UUAACACAUGCAAGUCGAACGGAGUUUAUGUAGAAUGAGUCUUCGGACAAAUGAAAUAUAAACUUAGUGGCGGACGGGUGAGUAACGUGUGGGUAACCUACCUUAUACAGGAGGAUAACAGUAAGAGAUUAUUGCUAAAACUGCAUAAGAUUACGAGUUCGCAUGAACAAGUGAUAAAAACUUUAGUGGUAUAGGAUGGGCCCGCAUCUGAUUAGGUAGUUGGUGGAGUAAAAGCCUACCAAGCCGACGAUCAGUAGCCGAUCUGAGAGGAUGACCGGCCACAUUGGGACUGAGACACGGCCCAAACUCCUACGGGAGGCAGCAGUGGGGAAUAUUGGACAAUGGGGGGAACCCUGAUCCAGCGACGCCGCGUGAGUGAAGAAGUAUUUCGGUAUGUAAAGCUCUAUCAGCAGGGAAGAAAAUGACGGUACCUGACUAAGAAGCCCCGGCUAACUACGUGCCAGCAGCCGCGGUAAUACGUAGGGGGCAAGCGUUAUCCGGAUUUACUGGGUGUAAAGGGAGCGUAGACGGCGAUGUAAGUCUGAAGUGAAAGCCCACGGCUCAACUGUGGGACUGCUUUGGAAACUAUGUAGCUAGAGUAUCGGAGGGGCAAGCGGAAUUCCUAGUGUAGCGGUGAAAUGCGUAGAUAUUAGGAGGAACACCGGAGGCGAAGGCGGCUUGCUGGACGAAGACUGACGUUGAGGCUCGAAGGCGUGGGGAGCAAACAGGAUUAGAUACCCUGGUAGUCCACGCAGUAAACGAUGAAUACUAGAUGUCGGAGAGGUUACUUUUCGGUGUCGUCGCAAACGCAAUAAGUAUUCCACCUGGGGAGUA